rnacentral:rRNA from 1 species
GUAGGUGGCAAGCGUUGUCCGGAAUUAUUGGGCGUAAAGCGCGCGCAGGCGGUCCUUUAAGUCUGAUGUGAAAGCUCACGGCUCAACCGUGGAGGGUCAUUGGAAACUGGGGGACUUGAGUACAGAAGAGGAAAGCGGAAUUCCAAGUGUAGCGGUGAAAUGCGUAGAGAUUUGGAGGAACACCAGUGGCGAAGGCGGCUUUCUGGUCUGUAACUGACGCUGAGGCGCGAAAGCGUGGGGAGCAAACAGGGAUUAGAUACCCUGGUAGUCCACGCCGUAAACGAUGAGUGCUAAGUGUUAGGGGGUUUCCGCCCCCUUAGUGCUGCAGCUAACGCAUUAAGCACUCCGCCUGGGGAGUACGGCCGCAAGGCUG